rnacentral:tRNA from 1 species
GCGACAUUAGCUCAGUUGACUCUUUAUGAGAGCAAAAGGGCGAUACCUUACCAAGGUAUAAGUCAUCGGUUAUUUAUUUCGAAUCCGAUAUGUCGCUCCA